rnacentral:rRNA from 1 species
UACGUAGGGGCCGAGCGUUGUCCGGAGUUACUGGGCGUAAAGCGCGCGCAGGUGGCCCAUUACGCCCGGCGUGAAAGCCCCCGGCUCAACUGGGGAGGGUCAUUCGAUACUGAUCGACUCGAAGGCAGGAGAGGGUAGUGGAAUUCCCGGUGUAGUGGUGAAAUGCGUAGAUAUCGGGAGGAACACCAGUGGCGAAGGCGACUACCUGGCCUGUUCUUGACGCUGAGGCGCGAAAGCGUGGGGAGCAAACAGG